GUGGGGAAUAUUGGACAAUGGGCGAAAGCCUGAUCCAGCCAUGCCGCGUGUGUGAAGAAGGUCUUCGGAUUGUAAAGCACUUUAAGUUGGGAGGAAGGGUAGUAACCUAAUACGUUGCUACUUUGACGUUACCGACAGAAUAAGCACCGGCUAACUUCGUGCCAGCAGCCGCGGUAAUACGAAGGGUACAAGCGUUAAUCGGAAUUACUGGGCGUAAAGCGCGCGUAGGUGGUUCAGUAAGUUGGAAGUGAAAUCCCCGGGCUCAACCUGGGAACUGCUUUCAAAACUGCUGAGCUAGAGUGCGGUAGAGGGUGGUGGAAUUUCCUGUGUAGCGGUGAAAUGCGUAGAUAUAGGAAGGAACACCAGUGGCGAAGGCGACCACCUGGACUGAUACUGACACUGAGGUGCGAAAGCGUGGGGAGCAAACAGGAUUAGAUACCCGAGUAGUCC
rnacentral:rRNA from 1 species